UACGUAGGGUGCAAGCGUUAAUCGGAAUUACUGGGCGUAAAGCGUGCGCAGGCGGCUUUGCAAGACAGAUGUGAAAUCCCCGGGCUUAACCUGGGAACUGCAUUUGUGACUGCAUGGCUAGAGUGCGGCAGAGGGGGAUGGAAUUCCGCGUGUAGCAGUGAAAUGCGUAGAUAUGCGGAGGAACACCGAUGGCGAAGGCAAUCCCCUGGGCCUGCACUGACGCUCAUGCACGAAAGCCAGGGGAGCGAACGGG
rnacentral:rRNA from 1 species